GAGGAUAAAGCUCAAGUGGCAGAGCACACGCUUAGCAGGCAUGAGGUCCUGGGUUCGAUCCCCGGUACCUCCU
rfam:Camelus ferus unplaced genomic scaffold scaffold1577, whole genome shotgun sequence.